GGGCACGACACCGGAGAGGGAGCCUGAGAAACGGCUACCACAUCCAAGGAUGGCAGCAGGCGCGCAAAUUACCCAAUCCCGACACGGGGAGGUAGUGACAAUAAAUAACAAUACGGGGUUCUUUAGGAUCUCGUAAUUGGAAUGAGUACAAUUUAAAUCUCUUAACGAGGAACAAUUGGAGGGCAAGUCUGGUGCCAGCAGCCGCGGUAAUUCCAGCUCCAAUAGCGUAUAUUAAAGUUGUUGCAGUUAAAAAGCUCGUAGUUGAAUUUCGGGGUUAGUAGGUUGGUCAUGCCUCUGGUAUGUACUGGUCUCACUGAUUCCUCCUUCCUGAUGAACCGUAAUGCCAUUAAUUUGGUGUUGCGGGGAAUUUGGACUGUUACUUUGAAAAAAUUAGAGUGUUUAAAGCAAGCUAACGCUUGAAUACAUUAGCAUGGAAUAAUGAAAUAGGACGUUCGAUCCUAUUUUGUUGGUUUCUAGGAUUGACGUAAUGAUUAAUAGGGAUAGUUGGGGGCAUUAGUAUUCAAUUGUCAGAGGUGAAAUUCUUGGAUUUAUUGAAGACUAACUACUGCGAAAGCAUUUGCCAAGGAUGUUUUCAUUAAUCAAGAACGAAAGUUAGGGGAUCGAAGACGAUCAGAUACCGUCGUAGUCUUAACCAUAAACUAUGCCGACUAGGGAUCGGAUGAUGUUAAUUUUUUAAUGACUCAUUCGGCGCCUUACGGG
rnacentral:rRNA from 1 species